GCUUGCAUUGGGGGGAGAGUGGCGAACGGGUGAGUAACACGUGGAUUAUCUGCCUUCAGGUCUGGGAUAGCCCCGGGAAACCGGGGCUAAUACCGGAUAAUAUGGCAACAUUAAAGGUGGGGACCUUCGGGCCUAUCGCCUGAAGAUGAGUCCGCGUCCCAUUAGCUUGUUGGUGGGGUAAUGGCCUACCAAGGCGACGAUGGGUAGCCGGCCUGAGAGGGUGUACGGCCACAUUGGGACUGAGAUACGGCCCAGACUCCUACGGGAGGCAGCAGUUAAGAAUCUUGCGCAAUGGGCGAAAGCCUGACGCAGCGACGCCGCGUGGACGAUGAAGGCCUUCGGGUUGUAAAGUCCGGUAAGCAGGGAAGAAUAAGUGUAAAGUAAUAUCUUGCACGAUGACGGUACCUGCCUAAAGCCCCGGCUAACUACGUGCCAGCAGCCGCGGUAAUACGUAUGGGGCAAGCGUUGUUCGGAAUUAUUGGGCAUAAAGGGCGUCUAGGCGGGGGACUAAGUUAGGUGUGAAAGCCAUGGGCUCAACCCAUGAAUUGCACCUAAAACUGGUUUUCUUGAGUUCGGGAGAGGAGAGCGGAAUUCCCGGUGUAGCGGUGAAAUGCGUAGAUAUCGGGAAGAACACCAGUGGCGAAGGCGGCUCUCUGGCCUAGAACUGACGCUGAAGCGCGAAAGCGUGGGGAGCGAACGGGAUUAGAUACCCCGGUAGUCCACGCCGUAAACGUUGUGUACUAGGUGUUAGUGGCUUGACCACUAGUGCCGUCGCAAACGCAUUAAGUACACCGCCUGGGGAGUACGUCCGCAAGGAUGAAACUCAAAGAAAUUGACGGGGGCCCGCACAAGCGGUGGAGCAUGUGGUUUAAUUCGAUGAUACGCGAAGAACCUUACCUGGGCUUGAACUGUACUUGAUCGGUGUAGAGAUACACCCUCCUUCGGGCAGGUGCAGAGGUGCUGCAUGGUUGUCGUCAGCUCGUGUCGUGAGAUGUUGGGUUAAGUCCCGCAACGAGCGCAACCCUUACCCCUUGUUGCCAUCAGGUAAUGCUGAGCACUCUAGGGGAACUGUCGGUGAUAAACCGGAGGAAGGUGGGGAUGACGUCAAAUCAUCACGGCCCUUAUGUCCAGGGCUACACACGUGCUACAAUGGCCGGUACAAUGAGUUGCGAGACCGCGAGGUGG
rnacentral:rRNA from 1 species